ACGCAGCGACGCCGCGUGCGGGAAGAAGGCCUUCGGGGUUGUAAACCGCUUUCAGGAGGGACGAAGCCACUCGGGUGAACAGCCCAGAGGGUGACGGUACCUCCAGAAGAAGCCCCGGCUAACUACGUGCCAGCAGCCGCGGUAAUACGUAGGGGGCUAGCGUUGUCCGGAUUUAUUGGGCGUAAAGCGCGUGUAGGCGGCCAGAUAGGUCUGCUGUGAAAACUCGGGGCUCAACCUCGAGCUGUCGGCGGAAACCAUCCGGCUAGAGUCCGGAAGAGGAGAGUGGAAUUCCCGGUGUAGCGGUGAAAUGCGCAGAUAUCGGGAAGAACACCUGUGGCGAAGGCGGCUCUCUGGGACGGUACUGACGCUGAGACGCGAAAGCGUGGGGAGCAAACAGGAUUAGAUACCCUGGUAGUCCACGCCGUAAACGAUGGGUGCUAGGUGUGGGGAGUGUCGACUCUCUCCGUGCCGAAGCUAACGCAUUAAGCACCCCGCCUGGGGAGUACGGCCGCAAGGCUA
rnacentral:rRNA from 1 species